GAGAGAGGAAGGGCAGCUGCCGGCCAACCUUUAAAAAAGCGUUUUUCUUGAAGGGCAGGCUGAGGAAAGUCCCCCCACCGAAAAAGCACGAACGUUGAGAGGGCGUAAGGCGAGAGUCUUGGCUCUGGGAUAGAAACGAACCGUGCCACACAAAAGCGAUGAUUCCGUGAGGAAGAGGUCGUGUGGUUCUGCGGAUGGAACGACCAACCUCGUGGGUGCAAGCCUCAAGAGAAGGUGCAAAGAUGAAUGCUGCCGAAACAGAAGGGGGCUUACUCUCCUCACUC
rnacentral:RNase_P_RNA from 3 species